rnacentral:rRNA from 1 species
UACGUAGGUGGCAAGCGUUGUCCGGAUUUACUGGGCGUAAAGGGAGCGUAGGCGGACUUUUAAGUGAGAUGUGAAAUACCCGGGCUCAACCUGGGUGCUGCAUUUCAAACUGGAAGUCUAGAGUGCAGGAGAGGAGAGUGGAAUUCCUAGUGUAGCGGUGAAAUGCGUAGAGAUUAGGAAGAACACCAGUGGCGAAGGCGACUCUCUGGACUGUAACUGACGCUGAGGCUCGAAAGCGUGGGGAGCAAACAGG